rnacentral:rRNA from 1 species
GCAGCAAGCGUUGUUCGGAAUUACUGGGCGUAAAGAGUGUGUAGGCGGUGCUCUAAGUUUGGUGUGAAAUCUCCCGGCUCAACUGGGAGGGUGCGCCGAAAACUGGAAUGCUUGAACAUGGGAGAGGAAAGCGGAAUUCCUGGUGUAGCGGUGAAAUGCGUAGAUAUCAGGAGGAACACCUGCGGUGUAGACGGCUUUCUGGACCAUUGUUGACGCUGAGACACGAAAGCGUGGGUAGCAAACAGG